rnacentral:lncRNA from 10 species
UGCCUCUGAUGUUUUAACAUCACUACAAAUACUGUUGUAAUUGUGUCUUGCUUUUGUGCCUUUCAUUGAUAACCCCUGAUUUGUAUCUCUUAGCCCCUUUUGAAGUGGUCUGGGUUGCUGGAAUCAUUUUGCAGGCGAGGAAACAGAGCCUCAGGGAGAGGACUUUAAUGAGGUCACUGACUAGGAAGAGCCAAGGCCAAUUAUAUUAAUAGAACCUUAGGUCUUCUGACUCCUUCUCCGGUGCUCAACUCUAGUAUAUACCAUUUUUGUGGGAAUGAGGUAGAUGAGAAUAGGCAAGGAGGCUCACUUAAAGAUUUUAAGAAACAUUACUCAGUUGCCCUUUCGUUGAUAUUUUUAUACUUUACUUUUGAAAUGCGGUUGUUAUGUUGCCCAGGCUGGUCUCAGACUCCUGGGCUCAAGCUGACCUCUCACCUCAGCCUCCGUAGCUGGGAUUACAGGUGUGCACCAUCUAGCCUGGCUUUUAUAUUUUUAUUCUCGAGUUAAUUUCUUAACUUUGCAACUUGCUAUUUUUUUCGAAAAUAUUGGAAAGUUAAAUAGCCCAUUUGAACACUUAGUUUUAACGCUACCUUUUUGCCAUAUUUGCAUUUUUCCACUUAUCUCACAUUCUGUUUUCUGAACGUUUCAAAGUGCAUUACGGAUAUGACAGUUCAGCCCUAAAUGCUGUAUGUGUGUCAGUAUGUAUUUUGUAAGAGAUCAAGGCCAUUUUUCUGUGUAACAAUACCGCAAUCACACUUAAGAAAGUGAAGAAUAUUCCUUAAAAUCUAACGUGGUGUAGUAUAU